GACGAACGCUGGCGGCGUGCCUAAUACAUGCAAGUUGAGCGCUGAAGGUUGGUACUUGUACCAACUGGAUGAGCAGCGAACGGGUGAGUAACGCGUGGGGAAUCUGCCUUUGAGCGGGGGACAACAUUUGGAAACGAAUGCUAAUACCGCAUAAAAACUUUAAACACAAGUUUUAAGUUUGAAAGAUGCAAUUGCAUCACUCAAAGAUGAUCCCGCGUUGUAUUAGCUAGUUGGUGAGGUAAAGGCUCACCAAGGCGAUGAUACAUAGCCGACCUGAGAGGGUGAUAGGCCACAUUGGGACUGAGACACGGCCCAAACUCCUACGGGAGGCAGCAGUAGGGAAUCUUCGGCAAUGGACGAAAGUCUGACCGAGCAACGCCGCGUGAGUGAAGAAGGUUUUCGGAUCGUAAAACUCUGUUGGUAGAGAAGAACGUUGGUGAGAGUGGAAAGCUCAUCAAGUGACGGUAACUACCCAGAAGGGGACGGCUAACUACGUG
rnacentral:rRNA from 1 species